ensembl:lncRNA
UAGACAUUCAAGUGAAACUCCCCACCAGAACGUCACUCAUCCAUUUGUUCAGCUACCACCACCCUCAACUCCUUCGCCUGUGGUUUCACAACCAGUUCCAAGACAACUUGUACAAGCCACCAAUACCAGCAUGUUUGUACGUGUUCUAACCCUCCUGGAAGACAUUAAGGAGACUCAGAGGAUCCACAGUCGAAUGCUACAGUCUCUCCUCAAACAACGUGAUGGACCAGUUGCUGCAGUAUUACCCGAGGGUGCUGUUUUUCCUCUCCGGACAGUCGCAGACGUGGAAGCACUGGAACAAAAACUGAUAGACCCUGUCUUCCUGAAAGAAGUGGUUGCUGUUGUGGCAGAGAUCGGAGGGAGCACUGUUGAUGAAGCCACCAGAAGAAUGAUGGCCUUCAUUAUGGACAAUGCUCUUUCCAGGCAAUAUAACUUCGUUGGGCGCCAUGGAAAGCGGGAAUUUCGAGGGCUUAAGAUUUUUGAAGUGCUAUAUGGCAGCUUGAAAAAAAAUGCUCUUACAAGCCAGAUUACCAGAAAAGAGGCAGAAAAGGCAGCAUCCAAGUGGUUUAUUGGUGCAAGAGAUAGAGGAGGAAAUCGCAUGGCAAGGGCACAGUGUCGCGUGCAGGAGAGGUAUACCUUAGUGACUCGGUUUAGAUAGACUGUGGAGAUUAAAUUAAUUACAAAUACUGUAUUAUUGAGGGAAAUUAUGUUUGGGUUUUUUAUGGGGGGGGGGGGCAUCAGCUCAUGUUGUUCUGGAGGGUGAUGGCUGCUGCCAGGAAUGACCACAUAUUUCUCUCUGGUUUGCAG